CUGCUGGCGGCGGCGCUGGGCUGCUGGCGGCGGCGGAGGAAGGACGAACGUCUCUAUGAAGUUGCUUUCCGCAGCACUGCAGAUGUCGCCCCGCUGCACACUGAGGUGGAAGUCCCUGUUAUAUGCCUACAUGAGGAAAUGAGCUCUAACACUGAAAAGAGUACCAUGAAAGACAGGAAAAGUCCUGAGUAUGAGAACCUUGUGACUGCAAUGGAAUCACAAUAUGAAACAGAAGAAAAUUAGUAAAAUAACAACUUUUCCACAUAAGCAGCCAUGCAGGGCUGCAGGUACUGAAUAGUGAACUUAACAGAAGGAAACUUUUCCUCCUGUUGUCACUCUGUUCUGCUAUCACUGCUUGCUUUAACCCAGAGGAGCUGCAUUACCUUUUGGUCUUUGGCAGACCAGGCCCUGCCUGUGGGAGCAGAAACCCCCAGCCAACUGUCUACCCACUUCUAUACAGCAAGUUGUUUCUGAGCAACCUGAAGGACCAAGGCAGGAAGAGAGGAUCUGAAGGAGUGAGAACAUGAAAUUCUUUAGCCUGUAAAUCCAGGAGCAAUUGGUAAAAUGCUGCCAGUCAGUAACACUAGCAAGGGGUACUCUCCAAUGUAUAUUCCUGUUAAGACAUUCCAGGCUGCAAGGAACCAGGAUUGUGCUGAAAAUGGAGAUCCUCUGGCUUUUGCAGCUCAGCAAAUAUUGGUUGUACAUCCUGGCUGUCCUUGAGUAUUUCUUUCUUUGUUACAGCAUGGUAAAGGGACAACAGAGGAGAGGUUGAUGUCCCAGGAGAGUAAUUUUUGCUAUCAGACAGGAGCUCAGUGCUCAGGGAGAGAGGGAAUGAGUCUCUGAACUCUCACCCACUGGUUUUCUCCUUGAAAACCAGAACUGAUGUUGAAGGAAAUGCUGGGAUUUAAUUUUUACAGUAUGGGGGCCAGAGGCAUGAUAAAAUAGAGAGAAAUUUGAGGCAUUUGGACAAUGACUGAGUAAGGCACCUGUCUGAAUACAACAGCCUGACACCAAAUUACUCUGUGGGAAGUAAGUCAGGCUGUGAUUACUAAUGCUGACCUGUCAUGUAACAUGGAUGCAGUUCCUGUCUUCAGCUGUAGUGCAUUCCCUACACUACGCUGUCACUCAGCAGCCUGAUCUGCCUCAUCAUUGUUAAUUGUUUGCAUCUUGCCUGUACUGCAGUGCUGCUGUCAUCUUGUCCUUACUGUGCCUCCAGCCAGCAUCCCUUUGUCCUCCAGGCUUGGCAGGGAGGAGGAAUGCCUCCUGGCUUUAGCAAACCAAAUUUGUGAGAGUUACUGGCUCUUUUUUAUAUCUGUGGGUGCAGCAAGGAAAGCAUGGGGAAGCAGCUGAGCUCAAGUCACACACCCCCUCCUGCUUGGCCCUGACUCACAAGGCUCAUCUCUGCUGCCAUGGAUCACCCCUUCUGAAGUUAGCAGCCUAACAGCAGGGUCACAUUGCUGUUUGUGGCCUGAGUGCUGUGUAGAGCUACACUUUAACCUUCACAUCUCUGCACUGCAAUGAUGCUUCUUCUGCAGGACACGAGGUGGGCAAGAUGAGAGGUAAAAAUCUGCCCAUAUUAUGAGGGCUUCACAAACACAGUGACAGCCAUGCACUGGGCUGUGCUGGGUGUCAGGCUGUACUCCAGGGAGGCAGACAGGAUCCAGUCUGUUCCUGUGGGACCCAUGGCUGCCAACCCUGAAAACCCCAUGCUGCAGAAGCUGCUGCAUCAGCAGUUCCAGGGGUAGUGCAGAACAAAGGAAUUGAGGGAAAUGAGGCGCUGCAACACACACACAGGGCAGUAGGAUAUGGUGCAAGAUCAGUGCUGGGUGGGAAGGGAACUGAAAAUUUCUCAGCUUCCCCAUCCUUACCUCAGCAGAUCUAGGCCCAAAACUCAUGACAUGGCACUCUCCUUUCCCCCCCCCCAAAUAUCAUCCUCAUUAAUUUUCUAUUAGCUUGGUGUUUUGUGCAAGUUUUCCAGCUGUUAAAGGCUCUGAGCUCCAGGUUCACUCAUUGACUAUACAACACCAUGGUUUUCCCAUCUUGUGAUUCCUCCCAGCACUAUCUGCUCUGGGCAGAGGUCUGGACACCUUUCUCAGAAGACAUGAAGCCUGGGAGAAGCUACAGAGGAAGAAGGAGUUAAGAAAGGGAGAGCAGAUGCCCCGGAUGGACCACCCCCGUGUACUCCAUGUUGUCACUGCCUCUAGUUAGGGCAGCAAAAGGACUUUGGGUACAAGUAGCAGAACAGUGGAAAAAUAAGAAGCCUAUCUCCAAUACUGACAUGUUUUUACCUGAGCAACAAGUGUGUGAUUAUUUCUUUAUUUCACUUUUGCUAUGUUUUCCAUGUGUCUAGUAAAACCUGUUUGCAACAGAA